AGUAUUGUGGUUCAGUGGAAAGAGCAUUGGAUUUGAAGUCCAGGAUCCUGGGCUGAAAUUUCUGCUCUACUA
rnacentral:tRNA from 1 species